GAAUUGUAGUUUAUAGAAGCGUUUUCGGUGGCAGCCUGGGUAUAAAUCCUUUGGAAUAGGGUAUCAUAGAGGGUGAGAAUCCCGUCUUUGACUCAGUGCAUGCUACUAUGUGAUACGUUUUCAAAGAGUCGAGUUGUUUGGGAAUGCAGCUCAAAAUGGGUGGUAAAUUUCAUCUAAAGCUAAAUAUUGGCGAGAGACCGAUAGCGAACAAGUACCGUGAGGGAAAGAUGAAAAGAACUUUGAAAAGAGAGUUAAACAGUGCGUGAAAUUGUUGAAAGGGAAACGCUUGACACCAGUCAUGCGAGUGGAAAAUCAGUCUUUUGCAAUGGGGAGUUGUGGGCGUUCAGACCGCAAGGCUGGCGUUUGCUUCAUCUUUGUUGUAAGUGAUGCACUUUUUCAUUUGCAGGUCAACAUCAGUUUGCUUUGCUGGACAAAACCCCAAGGGAAGGUGACAGCUUAGGCUGUGUUAUAGCCCUGGGGCGAUACAGUGGAGUGGACUGAGGUUUUCGCAGUGUGUGCUCUCUGGGCAAGGCUGACUGGGUGCUAUGGGAUCGUUCGGCGUACAAUGCAUGCAUUUUGCGCCGUGUCUUUUUCAUACUCGCUCAACUCGGCUCUUCCACACUUAGGAUGUUGACUUAAUGGUUUUAAUCGACCCGUCUUGAAACACGGACCAAGGAGUCUAACAUAUAUGCAAGUGUUUGGGUGGCAAACCCAUGCGCGUAAUGAAAGUGAACGUAGGUGCCAUCCGCAAGGUGCAGCAUCGACCGAUCUUGAUAUUUUUGGAUAGAUUUGAGUAAGAGCAUAUAUGCUGGGACCCGAAA
rnacentral:rRNA from 1 species